UUUAUCAACGUGCCCAGGGAAUGAAGCCUCCAUAAAACCCCCAAAGGACGGGGUUCAGAGAGCUCUGGGUUGGUGAACCACAAUGUGUCCACAUGCCACCAUGCCAAGGGGACCUUGCCCUGUGUAUCUCUUCAUCUGGCUGUUGAUUCGUAUUCUUUAACGUCCUCUAUAAUACACCGGUAAUCCAGCAGGUAGACACUGAGCUCUGUGAGCCUAGCGAGUGAGUGAAUGGAACCCCCGGAGCGGAUGGGGGAGCUCUGAUUUGUAGCCUGUGGGCCACGAGCAGGGUGGACGGUGUCAGAACUGAGCUCAAGUGUAGGACGCUGGUCAGCAUCUGCUGGGAAUCGGAGAAGCACUUGGUGUAGGACGAACACGUCAUAACAAGCCACGGAGAGGGUUCCAGGUGGACGGACAGACUCCACGGUCGGGCUGGACAGACAGACUCCACGGUCGGGCUGGGCAGCGGCUGGAAUCACUGGCGUGAGGAUGGCGUGAAGUGGUGUCUUGGUGACUCCCUUUCUAGCGUGGGGCAGUUUCGAGGCCGUGGAUGCUUGUAUCGCUGAUCUGUGUAUUCAGCGUGUGCACCGGGCCUCCUGGGGCGCCCAGGAGAAGCUCUAACUCGCUGGUUCCUGACUCCAGUCUUCAGAGGUGGCUGCUUGGUGGCAGCAUCCUGGCACCAUCAGGAAAAGGUCUCUGAGGUCCUGGCAAAUGCCGGCUGUUCUGAAGAUGCUGCUCUGGGUGACCUGCAUUGGGUGCCCUCUCCAGGGCACUUCUAGAGGACCUGCAGAGAGGUGCCCUCUUGGCUGGGACCCUGAGGACCACGACCGGUGCUUCCAGGCCUGAGCAAAGCCCACCCGGUGAGGAGGGCCUCCUAGACCUCUGAGCCGGCCUUCUGUCCAGACGCCCAGUCCAGCCCAGCAGAGUGUGGCCCCUGCAGACCUCACCCAUCGGUGUGGAGGCCCCUCAGAUAGCCUGAGCAUCUCCAGGCAGAUCUCAUGGGAGCCCCCGCCCGACCAGGUGAGGGGGUCUUGGAGGGUCUCCUUCUCUGCAGCAGCCACCUCACGGGCAUGGCUGGAGGAGGGACCCUUUGGGGUGACACACGGCCACCCCUGUCUCAUCUGUGGGAGUCUUUGUCCUCGGGCCGGGGUGGAGUCCCUGCCAGCUGGAGGGUGUGGGAGGCCAGGGGGCUCUUUGGACAAUCAGCUCCAGGGUUGUUUGGGUUGAACUGUGUCCCCUUGCCCACAGAAAGAUAAGGACAUUGAGGCCAAAGCUUCCGAUGCUCGUGGCUGUAACCUUGGAAAUAGAGUCUUAGCAGAGGUGAUCAGGAUAAGGCGAGGGCAUCAGGGGGGCCGUGUCCAAUAUGACCUGAGUCCUUGUCAGAAAAGAUGCCAAGCUCUCCCCAAGAGCUUCUGGGGAGAGAGGCGGAGGCGAGGGCCAUGCAUCCAGAAGCCAGGGAGGGCCAGGGAGAAGCCAGAGACACAAGGAGAGAUCCCACCCCGAAUCCUGCAGGGAGUGAGGUGCUGCCGAUGCCUCGAUCCCUGGCGUGUGGCCUCCAGGACCAGGAGACAGCAAACGUCUGUUGUUCAGUCCUGUUUUGUGGUGCUUUGUUAUGGCUGUCCCUGAGCUGAGACGCGGUGCUAGGCUGUGCCUUCAUGCCGGGGCUGGGGGUCCACGGGUGUCACGGACAGGCUGUCAGUGACUCUCUUCCGACCUCAGAGGUCCCGGAUAUAGGUCGACACACCUGCUGGGCUUCAGUGAACCCAGCGUGGCCAUGUGCAUCCCUCACCACCCAGCCCGUGGGGCGUCAUCAUACCCAUCUUGCAGAGGGGCAAACUGAGGCCCAGGGAGGACUCAGUCCUGGGUUCAGAGCACUGCCCGACCGCCCUGGUGGGAGGUGGGCAAGUAGCCACGAGACUCCAGGUUUUUUGCUGGCAUUUCAUGGCCACUGGACAAGCUUCCAAACUGGAAACCCAGAGGAGCACAAGGUGUUGGGCUAACGAGGGAGCGUCUCACGGUGGAGGAGUGACCACAUCCAGAGUAAUGGCUGUCUGUUUGGCUUCGUGUCUGGAGUCAGCUGGCUCACCCUGACCGGGUGGCCUGUGCCCUGGGAUUCCAUCGGCUUGCCUGUAAAAUGGGUAUGAUGAGGAGCAGCCCCAGCAAGUAACUGAUGAAGGACUGGGGUGGCCUCGUGAGCCUGGUUUUCCCGGAAGGCCCAGCAUCCGCACCUGUGCUUUCUGUUUGCCACACUCAUGGGCAGGGCGACUGUGAGUGCUGCCAGCUGUGUUUUGUGGCCCCUCUACACAUCGAGCCCCCCGAGGUGACAGCCGGUGGUGGUCGGGACCUCGAGGCUUCAGGGUAGCUGGGGCCCACAGGACCUCAAGUGUCAGCCCCUCCUGCCCACCCAGCCUGCGGGGGUGGGGGUGGCACCCCCUACCUCCUGUUCCUGUGCUGAGCUCACACUUGGUGACAGGUGUGCCGGGAGGAGGAGGUGCCCGUGGGACCCUGAUCGCCUGGGGACUCUAGUAAAUGCUGUUUCGUGAAGGCAGGGGUGAGCACGGUGGAUGUGGAGGUGCCAACGACCCUCCUGCCUCCCGUCCUCACGGCCAAGUCCCCCUGGGCAGAGAGACCUGCUGACUCCUCCUGCUUUUCUGCCCUCCUCAUUUGUGCUGUGGAUGUGGUGACAGCUAAAUGCUAUCAUGUCCAGGUUUUGGGAUCCUGCUCUCUGCUCAUCAAGGUCAGGGCGCAUGGCGAUGGUAUUCCGCAUUUCCAGGAAGAAAAAGUGGGUCAAAUCAUGAGGUAAAAUGUACCAGCAGCAAAAUGAUGACUAUUUUCAUCUAUCUAAUCUAUCAUCUAUGUAUCAAUCACCUAUCUCUAUCAAUUAUCUAUCUAUCAUCUAUCAAUCAGCUAUCAUCUCUAUCAAUUAUCAUGUAUCUAUGUCUAUUAUCUAUCAUCUAUCUAUCAUCUAUAUCUCUAUCAGUCAUCUAUCACCUCUCUCUCUCUCUCUCAUUUAUCCGUUGCUUGUCUCUAUAUCUACGGAAAAAAAUGUGCAACUGUUUGGCCAGCCCACGUGGAGCAAAGACAGAGCCUAAAGCUGAGCAGAACGUUGAUGGGCUUCAAACUCAGGAGCAAAGUGUCCUUGGAACACAGGCUUACGCGUGGUGGAGUGUUCUUGGGCACGUUUCGGGAAUCAUUGUCACCGCUGCUGCCCGGCAGGCCCCACGGAGGAAGCCAGGCCACUGGCUUGUCAGCCACUUCCCCAGGGAGCAGCAAGCGUUCCAGCACCGUGUUUACUCUGGAAGCGGUAAAGGAGCCAGAUCCUGCCUCCAUCUGCCCCGGGGCCAGGCCCUCUGCCGUCCUGUCUGUCCCCUGGUCUGUCCUGAGGGGAGGCGUCGGUUUGCACCAGGUCCCUGGUCCGUCCCCUGCCCAGAGGGGACAGCUUCCUUUGUUACUGGCUAUGGGGGAAGGCGGUGAUGGGCUCACGUGCUGUGGAGGCCGAGAAGGCCCCGGCGGCCAGCUGUGAGCAGGAGACGUGAGCAGGAGACGUGAGCAACAGCCAGUGCUGUCGUCCAGUGUGAGGCCGAAGGACUGAGAACCGGCAGCUGCUCCGUCUGGGGGCUGGAGAGGCUGGAGUCCCAGCUCUCAACGAGAGUGCAAAUUUGCCCUUUUCUUGCAGCUGACUGGGGGCUGCCCAUCCCCAUUGGUGAGGGCGGGGCUUUUCAUUCAGUUUCUGAAUUAUUUCAGUUUUUGACACAAAGUGAACCAUCAUCAGGAAACCCUGAGUGGGGCCCUGUCAGGUCAGCCAUGCGUGGAGAAGCACGGCUCCACUGGGAACGCCUUCCUGCAGCCUUCUGCCCCCAGCACGCUUCCGCGCUGACUCCAGGGGCUUACGGGCUGCCAUCACGCCGGCCAUUGCCUCCCCGCACGCCACCCUUGGAAGUCAUGCUCUCCAGCUUUGUUCUCUCGAUGUAGGACUCUCCUUCCCAGGGAGCCUGCUUUCCAAGCAGCCCUGGUGCCAGCAGCUGCAGGCUUUUCUUUAGGGAUGAGCUGACAUCUUACCGAGUGUUCUCAGUUGGCCUGGCCCCCCCACUGCAGGUCACCUGGAGGAAGCCACGUGAUGGGAAACGGAAAACAGAGCUGCUCCUCAGCCCUGAGCUCCUGACAUUCCCUCCGGCUGCCUGGGCCUCCCUCAAGCUCCAUUCCAGGAGCAGCUGCGGGCUGGGGUCCACCUGUUCUUCCUCCUCCGAGACUGACCUGUGGUCCUCCUUCCUGACCCAUCCUGGCUCCUGCCCCCAGGGACCCCUGCUCCCUGAGGCCCCCCUGCCCCCUGAGGCCCCUCCUGCUCCCCCAGUCUCCUCCUGCCCUCUGAGAUCCCCCUUCCCCCCAUCCCCGUCCCCUCCUGCCUGGCUCUCCCCACCCCGGGGGGAGUGAGGAAGCAGAGAGGUGUCUGCCCACCUUCCCACUCAUGGCACGCACCCCGCUGCACGGCCGCUGCCCGGUGCCUUCCCUGGCCCUACACCCGGCAGCCCCAUCCUAGCAUUUCCUAGCAUCCUAGCCCAGUGGAGUGGGAGCUGGAGAGAGAGAGCUCGGGCUGAGAGUGGUCACCCCGCGGUCUUUGCAGACCUCAGAGAGGCUGCACGGAAUCCCUGUGGCCUGGAGCACGUCCCCACCGGGGCAGGGCCAGGGGUCUCUGUCCACCGCGUUCCCUGAGUCCUGAGUCCACUGUUCACCACCCCUGGAGGCCUGUGGUCAGAGACCUACCUGCAGCAAGAUUUCUCCCUCUUGACUCCAGGUGGGUCCAGCAAGGGCAGGGCCCGAGGUGCGAGAGCGCAGAGGUCAGGAGCCCAUGUCCCAAGGCAGGAAGGCCUGGGGCCCCAGUGCCGGUUGCUCAGACAUUGAAAACAGACUUCCCUUCAACCUGCCACUGUCUUGCAGCCUCCAAAGCCAAGCAUCUGCAUCCCUUUCAAGACAACCAGCAUUCUGCUGCAGGCCCAGGGAGGGAGGGUGUGGGCUGGGUCCUGGAAGAGGAGGGGUCGGGAGCAGUCCCUCCCUCGGGCGGAGAGCUUAGUAGCAGGAUGCCCUGUCCCCAUCCCUCCCUGUCCUGGCUGUGGGAGCCCAGCUGGGUGAUGUCACCGUCCCCAGUGAAGCUCUGGGAGCAGGAUUUGCACAUGAGGCCAGGGCAGAUUGCAUUUUCCAAAGAAAUCACACCAGCAUCCAUCUGCACUCCACACUCUUGUCUUGCAGUGUGACUGGUGUUCCUUCCCCGAGAGGCAGGGGUCCCUGCUUGCCACCCCCUUGCCGCCCCUAGCUGCCUGUCACGGGACCCCGAGCCAGAGACCCUCUCCUGCAGCUCCUGUCCCCCAGAAACCAGGACAGACCUCAGCGACGGCUGUUGUUUGCAGCCCGUGUGCUCUGAGGUCUGUUGCUUAGUCGUCGCACGGGAACAGGUGCGCGGCACUCGGGAGGGCAGGAGCGCGUCCCCAGACCUCAGAGAGCCAGCGGACGGGCCUUCCAAGCUGCGAGAAGCAUCUUCCAGAAAUGUGGGCCGUAGGCCUCGUGUUAUAAAUAAAAUAUCUGCUGCUUCCACUCACUGUUUGGGUAUCGAUUUCCACGGGUUGGGGAAUCGGCUCUUUGGCCUCCCAUAAACCCGAAAGCAGGUCCCACGGCACAUCCUUCCUGGGCAGCCUCACUGGUGCUCCGUAUUUACAGGCACCUGGGCUCUCGUUGGUGCCUUUAUCCAAAUAGAAAGCGCUGGAAAUAUCAAGAAAAGGGCUGGGGAUCUGCUCAUUUGCCCAGACAUCUGGAAAACAAUUUUAAAUAUUUAUGUGUGAUCUGCAGGCAUUACAUGUUUGCUGUGGGGAGCUUCCGUGGCUGCGUGGUGCAGUAGAGGAGGAAAAAAAAAAAGACAUUCUCUGUAGAGAAAGCAAGCAUUUUGUAUUCCUGCUUGAAAUGUAGG